rnacentral:lncRNA from 13 species
UAUAUAUAUAUAUGUGUGUGUAUAUAUAUAUAUGUAUAUAUAUAUAUAUAUAUACAUAUAUAUAUAUACAGUUUUUUUUAAUAGUGACUUAUUUUCCUUUGAGUGGAUACUCAGUAGUGGGACUGCUGGGUUGAAUGGUAGAUCUACUUUUAGUUCUUAGAGAAAUCUUCCUAUCCUUUUCCAUAGAGGCUGUACUAAUUUACAUUCCUACCAGCAGUAUAUAACAUUCCCUCUUCACCACAUCUGUGCCUGUAUUGAUUCCAUUUGACUUUUUAAUAAUGUCUAUGCUUUCUGGGGUAAAGUGGUAUCUCAUUCUGGUUUUAAUGAAUGCUUCAUUAUUUUGUCAUUUGGGAGGAACAAUUUGGACAUUUUAGGCAGAACCAAUAACUUCAAGUUUUAAAAACAAAGAUCUUACUGCAUUAUGUAUUCAUCCUCAUCAGUGGCCAAGAAGGUCUUCCUGACACAGCUUAUAGAACUACAAGGCAAGGUUUGACAAACUAUGACCCGCUACUCAAAUCUGAUUCAUGGCUUAAAUUGACACAGCACGGUAGCUAUGAAUGAUUUUGACAUUUUUGAAGGGUGACAGUAGUCUAAUAGAUGGAGGAAGAAGAGGAGAAGAAGAGGGAAAAAACGUGGGAGGAGAAGCAGCAGUGAUAGAGGCAUAUGUGGCCAAUAAAGCUAAAGCUAAAUUCUAUCAUUAAAUCAGUCUCACUAUAGAGAAAAAAAUUGUUGAUCUCUGCACAGAGAAUAUAUGCAUAAACAAUGUCCAACUAUGAGAACAAACAAUUGCAUUAACAUAACCAUCAAGAAAAGAAACAAAAAAAAAAGUCCACCACCACCACAAAAACUCUAUUUUUAAAAUUUAACAUAAAUUACUAGCAAUUUAUAUCUGUUGGCAUGUGCCUGAAAUGUCUUCUUUAUUUGUACAAGCAGUCUUUUGGAGAGCCCUGUUUUUCAUCUGCAGCAGAAGGCCAAAAUGUUCCAGAUAUUCUUGAUGAGUUACCUCAAGUUGGAGCAAGUAUCCUAAAGUGGCUAUUUCAGGAAGAAGAAAAACAUGCUACAAAAUGUGUUGCUCCCAUGCUAAUAAUAAAAAUCCAAAUAUUUUACUAAACCAUAACCUUUUUAAGUCCAUCAGAGCUUUAAAUUAACAAGGAAGGGAACCAAGUGACCUGAAUUCCAAGAAGGAAUAAGAACCUGCAAGAAGAUAUAAGUAUAUAAACUGUUUGACCAAUGGCAGAAAAAAGAAGAAAGAUAUUCCAACUACCAUGUAAAUUAUAAGACAACAUCAGCAAACCAUAUAGCAAACAGAAGACAAGGCAGAUAUAUCAGUCCAGAAUAUUUAGCAGCUCCAUACACAAAAAAAUGCUUGCAUUCUCUCACAAGCAUUUUCCCGUGGUUUCUAUCAGGUGCUCAUGAGAAAAACUGGGAGCAGUAUAAUAGACAAGAGAUAGCUUAUCCCUGAGAGGGAAUUCAGGAAGUGAUUGAUGGCUUUAAACAUACUGUGCACCUCUGUGGACUCUUCUCUCAUAUGAAACAAAGGCCUAGGCUUCUUUGGGAGGGGCAGUGAACAUUCACAUCCAGAAAGGGUAAGUGAAGUGCUAAGUGGUAACACAGGAAAUAGAUGCAAAGCCCUUUCCAGGACUCUUUUCUCUGGUGAAAUAAUAACUUUAGGUAUCUUGGAGAAUGGCCAAUGUUUUUAGGUCUUAUAUCUUACAUGUGCACCAAUCAGAGGUUUCCUACUGCUAAAGGAGGGUAGGGUACCCCCACUUAAUAUCAAGCACGGAUAACAAGUUGAGUUGGACUGCCACGAAGAAGUAGGCUACCAAUGCUAAAACUUCUACUCCAAGACCCAGAUGCUUAUGGCUUUCCUAAGACUGAAGAGAGACUCGAAUAACAGAACAUUUCUAAGACAAAGUUAGCACAUAUUAACAAGCAUUAGCAGUCAACCACUGGGGCAGGAACAAGAAUGUGGGGCUAUAUCUCUCUAUUGUGUAAGUAUGCAUACAUGGUGAAAGCUGAAGAUAGAGCCCAAACACUGAAAAAAUUUGUAUGGCAUCCCAAUUCCACCCUAUCCCAAAUAAGGAAAGGGAAGUUGAUUAGUAGAGAAAUUGCACCUAAGAUUUACUGACAAUAACUAUGGAAACAAAACUAAAUUUCAGCUAAAUUUCUAACUAGAUUGAUUCAACACCCCACACUGAUGGCCUGUAUAAGAAAAGGAAUGUUCAUUUUCAGGUUAAAUAUUAUUUACUUCAGUCUUUAUUAAACUAAAAACAAUAUUUGGCAUUUAAUAAAACUUUGUAUUAAUAAAACUUAUGAAAACA